rnacentral:misc_RNA from 1 species
GAGCUUUACUGGGUUGAGGAAGAACACAGGAUUUAUAGGAAACUUCAGGAAGAGAGGAGAUUAAGAGAGGAAGCUGCCCGUGCCAAGGCUGAAAGAACAGCUCGUAUGAAAUCUGAGACAAAGGAAAGAACAGUGAAAAACUUUUUGUUGUCACAGAAGCACAUAGUGUUUACUGAUCCCGUUGAUGUUCAAGCAGGAAGUGCAGUGACAGUCUUUUACAAUCCUGCCAAUACACCUCUAAAUGGAAAACCUGAGGUGUGGUUCAGAUGUUCAUUUAAUCGUUGGUCCCAC